rfam:Dipodomys ordii contig_5339, whole genome shotgun sequence.
GGGAAGGUGGCUCAGUGGUAGAGUGCUUGCCUUGCAUGCAUGAGGCCCUGGGUUCGAUUCCUCAGCGCCA